ensembl:lncRNA
UAUCAAUGAAGCCCCUUUUGGCCAAGCGCUUGUGUGCCUUGAAGAAAUACAGUCCUCAAAUAAACUCACGGUUUGUGGAGGGAAUGAAAUACCAGACACGCUAGGCACUCCAUAACCGGGUAAAUUUGGACGGCACCCCGAGCCUGUCCGGGGCCCGUCUGGGAAGCUGUGUGAGGCACAAGCGCUCGGCCCUGUUUUUGAGAAGAUGCACCACGCGCGGGAGGAGAGGAAGCCGGCACCGGAAGGAACAGGCGUUGUCACAGAGCACCGCGGAAACCCAGGCCCGAGAGGCUACUCCGCGAGGUUCCCCUGCCCAACCCGCCCCCCGCCAAGGUCAGCCGCCUGGGAGCUUCCGCAAUUGCUGGUGCACCACCAUCGCCAGAGGAGCCUGGUGGGCUACUAUUCACAGGGUCACAAAGAGUUGGACAUGACUGAAGCAGCUUAGCGCACACACAGGUUGCUUCCAGGCCUUGGUCAUCGUGAACAGUGCUGCACUGAACACUGGGGUUCAUGUAUGCUUCUGGACCAUGUUUUUCUCUGGAUAUAUGGCAAGAAGUGGGAUUGCAGGAUCAUAAGUUAGCUCUGUUGUUAGUUUUAUAAAGACCCUCCGUGUCAAGACCAGCUUUCGAAGUUCUCACUAGCUACGCACAUCCAAGCCAGAGCCGAGCUCCAGUUCCUUUCUCACUGGUCUCACAAGGUCAAGGCUCAUGAGCAAGUUCACUCUCGACGGCGUCCUUUUAGUAAGCUGGGAACACAGAGAGACAGAAGCGCGUGUGACGUGUCAGAUGUCACCCACUCUUUGUGCUUCUUCCAGGAAACACGGAGCCCUCGUGGACCCUAGGAAUUGCAAUGCCUCGUCCUGGCUCCUCAGAAGGAGCAUCCUGAAGGUGAAACCUUCCUUAUUCAUUGGAAAGGGGAGGGAGAAAAUACUCUCUCUGUCCCUUUAAAAUAAAAUUCUAAACCAAAUUCCA